GUGGUAUACGAUGGAUCCGCGUCUGAUUAGCCAGUUGGCGGGGUAACGGCCCACCAAAGCGACGAUCAGUAGCCGGCCUGAGAGGGUGAACGGCCACAUUGGGACUGAGACACGGCCCAAACUCCUACGGGAGGCAGCAGUGGGGAAUAUUGCACAAUGGGGGAAACCCUGAUGCAGCGACGCCGCGUGAGUGAAGAAGUAUCUCGGUAUGUAAAGCUCUAUCAGCAGGGAAGAAAAUGACGGUACCUGACUAAGAAGCCCCGGCUAACUACGUGCCAGCAGCCGCGGUAAUACGUAGGGGGCAAGCGUUAUCCGGAUUUACUGGGUGUAAAGGGAGCGUAGACGGCAGCGCAAGUCUGGAGUGAAAUGCCGGGGCCCAACCCCGGAACUGCUUUGGAAACUGUGCAGCUCGAGUGCAGGAGAGGUAAGCGGAAUUCCUAGUGUAGCGGUGAAAUGCGUAGAUAUUAGGAGGAACACCAGUGGCGAAGGCGGCUUACUGGACUGUAACUGACGUUGAGGCUCGAAAGCGUGGGGAGCAAACAGGAUUAGAUACCCUGGUAGUCCACGCCGUAAACGAUGAUUACUAGGUGUCGGGGGGCCAAGGCCCUCCG
rnacentral:rRNA from 1 species